CAUUAACUGUUGAGUCGGAAAUCAGAAUAGAGAUUUUAUUUUGAAUUUCAAAUUGAGAAACUUUUUAAGAUUGCGAAAUAAAUAAGAUGGCCUAUGCUCUUUAUUUGACACCUAAGAGAUAGACAGAUUAAGAUUAGUGUGGGAGAAUCUAGCAGAAACUUUCAGAAGAAGCUAAGGGUUUUGGUUCUCGAAUCACAUAGCUCUUCUUCUCUAUUCUUCUCGGAUUUUUGAAGGUUCUCUUUCAGCCAUUUGAAGAGUUGAAGAGAAAAAAAAGGGAUUAUGUCAUUUAAGUCUUUUGUACUUGAGAGAAGAAGCUAAAGUGCAGUAUUUGUUGGAGAAGUUCAUCAUUUGGUUUUUAUGGUGAUAACUGCCAAACUCCAGAGCCUUAGGAUGUAUGACUCUCAAGUUUUGAAAUCUAAGUCAGAGGGCAAAGAGAGAUGCCAAGAGUCUACAAGUGGUGAAUCGUUUCUGUAUAGAUACCAACUUGAAGAGGAUGUAAAAAGAUUGCAACUGCAACUACAAGAAGAAUUAAAGCUGCAUACUUUUUUAGAGAGCAUCAUGGAGAAGGAUCCUUGGGAGCUAACUUCUGCUUGUAGUGUUCCACAUCAUGCUCAAGAACUGCUUUCCAAUAUAUCCACCCUAGAGACUGCAGUCACCAAGCUAGAGCAAGAAAUGAUGUCUCUGAACUUCCAACUUAGCCAAGAAAGAAACGAGAGAAGACUAACUGAAUAUCAUUUGACACACUCAGCUUCUCCACCAAACAUUUCUUCUUCCUUGAUAUAUUUGAAUCAUUCGGAUUCUGAAGUACAUCAAUCAGCAGAAGACAAUCCAUGCCAAAACCAAGACUCUUCAUCUGAAUCAUCUCAGGCAGAAUCAACUGUUAAGAAGAGUAAUCAAAUUCUUGAGAAGAGACUAAUGAGAAAGACAAAUGGGAGGAAGCUACCUAAGUACAUGUGGGAUCACCCUAAUCUACUCUCUGAAGAAAUGGUGAGAUGUAUGAAGAACAUCUUCAUGUCACUUGCUGACCAGACAAAAGCAUCCUCAAACGAGAGCCAACUACUCUCACCGGUGGCAUCACCACGUGGGCAUCUAUCAAGCUCAUCAUCCUGGUGGCCUUCAACAGAACGGUAAAAAAUCUCUUCAUGGGUGCAAAGCCCUCAGAUAGAUAUCCAAAGAAGUAACAACGAUGUCUUGGCCACAGGAAACGUCUUUGAUCCUUACAGAGUUCGUGGGAAGCUAAGCUGGUCGGAGAUUGGAAACUACAGUUUGGCAUCCGAGGUUUCUUGGAUGUCUGUUGGGAAGAAACAGCUUGAAUAUGCUUCUGGUGCAUUGAGAAGGUUCAGGACACUGGUGGAGCAGCUUGCUAGAGUAAACCCAAUUCAUUUGAGCUGUGAUGAGAAGCUAGCUUUCUGGAUUAACGUUUAUAACGCGUUGAUCAUGCAUGCGUAUUUGGCUUAUGGUGUCCCAAAAAGUGACUUGAAGCUCUUCUCGUUGAUGCAAAAGGCUGCCUAUACGGUUGGAGGACACUCGUAUACUGCAGCUGCAAUGGAGUAUGUGAUACUGAAGAUGAAACCGCCUACGCACAGGCCACAAAUUGCUUUGCUUCUUGCCAUCAACAAGGUGAAAGUAUCAGAAGAACAACGCAAGGCAAGCAUUGAUACACAUGAGCCUCUUCUCUCCUUUGCCUUAAGCUGCGGAAUGUACUCUUCUCCUGCGGUGAGGAUCUACACAGCGAAAGGAGUGAAGGAAGAGCUACUAGAAGCUCAAAGAGAGUUCAUACAAGCAUCGGUAGGGCUGAGCAGCAAAGGGAAGCUCCUGGUACCCAAAAUGCUUCAUUGUUACGCCAAGAGUUUGGUGGAGGAUUCGAACUUGGGGGUCUGGAUAUCGAAGUACCUUCCACCACAUCAAGCAGCUUUUGUGGAACAGUGCAUCUCUCAGAGAAGCAGACAAAGUCUUCUCUCCUCACGUAGCUGUGGAAUACUCCCCUUUGAUUCUCGUUUCAGAUAUCUGUUUCUCCCUGACAACAACAACAACAACUCCUGUGUGUAAUAACCUUUUAAAAGCUCUGCUUUGUGUUCAUCAGCAUGUAUCAUUAUUGUUCCCAACUUAGCUUUGGGGCUUAUCAUUGUACAUUUUUUUCAGAUAAUGUAUAUGUAAAAAGAAACUUUGAACAAUCA